ensembl:lncRNA
UUUUCGCUUGUGCAAAGAGCACUGUAAUGAAAAUAGAAACUACUCUGGACAAAUCACUACAAAGCGAGCAAGCCCAGCAAGGAGCGGAGACUCGGUUCAAGAAGCUGGCUCAGCUGUAUUCCUCUUCGGUCAUGACCUCCUGUGAGUUGUCUGUGCCGCCGCCCGUCCUGGAGGAACACAGGACAGGACACGCCCAGCUAGGAACCCUGUUACCCGCCAUCUCUGCGCACCGAAUCUUUAAGCACAGAGAAUGCCACUGUAGGAAUCUCCAAGGAGGAUUAAGCUUGCACAACAGAAAUGCUAAUUCUGCUUAACUACGAGGACCAGCUAGGCUUCACUGAAUAAGACAUCCCUUUCAUUGUCUGCACACUGUCCUGAAAAAGCCACAGGGCAAGUGAAGAAAAGGAACACAAGACAGUGAAGUAAUUUGACUAGGUUCCUUUAGUGACAGGGAGAUCAAAAUGACAGAUUUUGCCAGGCUUAAUCUGACUCUUCACUCAGAGCGACAAGAAAGGGGGUAUUGCCUCUGGCACAGGCUCCAGAGGUUGUCCAGAUUGUUCAGGGAAAAUUUCAACUUCCUGCUAUUUCGUGAUCUGCUCCAAAUAGAUAAAAUUCCAAUCUGUUCCAAGCCACCCACGGCAGCAGCAUUUUCCAAAGUGUCGGAAAUAUUUGCUGUACAGCAAUGGGGUUCUACGUUUAUUCAAGCUUAGAAGACAUUGGAUUAAAAAACAAACAACAACAAAGUCUCCUGAUUGAAUCCAGAGCCUUCUUCACCUUUACUUGAUAAAUCUCCAAAUGAAAGGUGGCACAGUGGUAAAGAAUCCGCCUGCCAAUGAAGCAGACACAGGAAGUGCAAGUUUGAUCCCUGAGUCGGGAAGAUCCCCUGGAGAAGGAAAUGGCAACCCACUCCAGUAUUCUUGCGUGGAAAACCUCCUUAUUAGCCAGCUCCAUCAGCCCUGGGAAAUGAGAUCUCCAUUCGACCAUUGUAGACAAGAAUGAACAGUCUCUUCUUCCAUCUCUGCCUAAGCACACAUCUUUAAGUCGGAGUGUACUGCCUGCCCUCUGCCCCUCUUCAGAGUUCUGGAAGCCCCUCCUAUGCGCAGAGUCUGAUUCUUCCCGUUAGCAAUUAGGGUGCACUUGGGGGUAGACAGAGGACAGAGGAGGCGGAAGGCACAGUCUCUGGUCUCCAGGAGCCUAGAUUCUUAUCUCUGGGCUUGCUCUUGUCUGCUCAGCCCUGGCUUUAUUCUCUGGUUCUAAGGACUGAGGAUCACUAGCUGAUUUGCCUGCCCCCUGCAGCAGCACCCAGGGGGUCCUGCACAGCUCUGCCCUGGAUCUUCCGAUGGUUCCCCAGCAUACCUGCAGCAGUCACCUCUGCCCCUACUCUUUCACUGAUCAGAGCUGAGGCCACUGUUGGAGCUGCUCUUGGAGAUUUUUGCUUGUGUUUUGCAUUGCAUCGCCGUGCUCUCUCCGAGAAAUGGCAAAGACUGCUUUUUACUGUUUUUCCACUUUUGGUAAAAAUAAGUACCAGAGAGAGAGACAGACAGAGAGAUGGAGGCCCCAGGAACCUGCAUGCUAUCAAUGUUCUCUUCAGUUCUGGAAAGCCAGGAGACAAAGAAGCUGUCACCCAGUCACUUCAAACACUGAACAGGCUGGCAGAGCUGUGGGACCAUCCUAACUAUAGCCCGAAGCAGUGGGCUCAUAGCCUUCCCAGGCUCAGCUCAGCCAGUCACCAGCCAAUGGGGAGGUCCUCCCCUGGAGACCCCCUUUCAAUAUCGGAGUGUUACGUUUAUCCUUGCAGCACUCCUUCUUCCCACCUAGCACCCAGAGAGGAUUUCCUUUUAUCACUCUAAUUUGACACAAAAGUGCCUCUCUUCCCAAAUUACAUGCAGGAGAGACAGAAAGCAAUUCUAUUUUUUCUUUCCUCUCUUCUGAGCAGCAUCGUCCAUUUUCCCUGGGCUCAGACGACUAAGUUGUUAAUGCAAUCUCGGGCUUGUGCAGAAACAGAACUGCCAUUUAUAACCUCACUUCUGGGAAAUGGCCAUGCCUAGGGCACAGACUCAGGCACCCAGGGAGAGAGGCCUAUUCCAUGAUUGAAGGCAUAAGUCCAAGGGUCACUCUGCCUUCUGAUAUAUAAACUUUCAAAAUGGAAGUUUAUGAGUUGGGGACUUCUUUCAUUUAGGCAUUGACAGAAUGAUCCUCUAAAGCCAUUGAAAAUAAAAGAUUGGGGUCUGUUGGAAAA